UAGGGAAUCUUCGGCAAUGGGGGGAACCCUGACCGAGCAACGCCGCGUGAGUGAAGAAGGUUUUCGGAUCGUAAAGCUCUGUUGUUAAGGAAGAACGAGUGUGAGAAUGGAAAGUUCAUGCUGUGACGGUACUUAACCAGAAAGGGACGGCUAACUACGUGCCAGCAGCCGCGGUAAUACGUAGGUCCCGAGCGUUGUCCGGAUUUAUUGGGCGUAAAGCGAGCGCAGGCGGUUAGAAAAGUCUGAAGUGAAAGGCAGUGGCUCAACCAUUGUAGGCUUUGGUAACUGUUUAACUUGAGUGCAGAAGGGGAGAGUGGAAUUCCAUGUGUAGCGGUGAAAUGCGUAUAUAUAUGGAGGAACACCGGUGGCGAAAGCGGCUCUCUGGUCUGUAACUGACGCUGAGGCUCGAAAGCGUGGGGAGCGAACAGG
rnacentral:rRNA from 1 species